AUCAGCAAAAUCAGUCGAUAAUACGGUUUUUUUCCUCAUGCCUACAGUGACCAUCUCUCAUCUCUUCUAUCUUUUCAAUUCAGAACACAACAACAAUAAUGGCCUCUCUUUCCUCUCAUCUUCUCUUUCCUCCUUUCUUCUCUCUUCUCCUCCACCAUCACCCUAGCCAACCAUAGCGGACAAACCUCUAACUACUACUGCACAACCAUCUCCUGCACUCUAAAAAUCUAUACAACAGUGAAAAUCAGCACAAAAUCAUGGAUAAGAGUUGAAAAAUCUUUCAUUCCAUCAUGAUAGUUGUCGAAAAAUGGAGACUUGGAUUUGAAUUUCAAAAUCCUAUCUCAAUUUUCUUUAAUUUUGGCUUCAAAUCCAAAAUUUUGAGUCCGGAAUUAGCCUAUAAAUAGGGUGUUCUUCAACCCUAGACAAUAAGUUGAAAAAUUAGGAGAAAGGGCAGUGGAGGAACAAGUGAUAACAGAGAAAAUGGAGGGUCUCAAAAUUUGAUAGAUUUCUUUCAAUAUUAGUCUAAAUUGGAAGUCCUCAGAGUAGAUUUUAUCGUCGAAAAUUCUUACACGUUAAGGCUCCAGUUUUGCUGCCCUAGAAAAGGAAUCGGAGUUACACAAUGAAACUCAUUUUUUGACCCGAGAUUUGGGUCAACCGCCACUACGAUCACGAGAGCUUCGGAGUCGAGCAAAUUAGAAGCCCAACUCAUAAAAUGGAGUCUAAUCUCUUAUCUUCUUUGAAUUUAAUUUAUACUCGUCAUGUUGAGUUUUAGGAUGAUACUAACUUUUGUUAUUGAAUUUUCUCUUUUUUUUUUAACAACUUUACUUAAUUAUUAAAUUUAUGUUAUCUUGUUAUUUGUCGA